UCUACAUGAGCAAUUUUUUUAAAAAGCCUGUUUCACUUUUACAUACAAUAUGUAAAUAUUAAGAACUAAAAGUUAAUACUGGGUGCAGUUAUUUGUUUUGGUGUAAGGCAAAUUCACUGUUACUUGGCAAUCACCUCUGCAAAAAUUUUACUUUAAAGAUGGAAUAAUUCAAUUUCAUAAAAACAACUUGCUUCCUGAAUUAUUUGCAUAUUAGUUAUUGUUUUAAUCUUUUACAGUUAUUGUUACUGAGAAGACUAGCAUUUUAUUGAGAUAUUUGCACUACCAUUGGGACAAAAAGAAUAAUGUGCAGAAAAAGAGAGACCAUUCAUCUACAGACAA